CUCGAAUACAUAGAUUUUGAGAACUGAUCAUUAGGUUUGUGAAUUUCACCCUAACUUUUGGCCAUUUUACAACAUGUUGACUCUUUCACCAAGAGUUUGGUGGGAAAAAGAGCGAGGGUUAAAAUUUGUUUUCUUUAAAUUAUCUCUAGAUUGAAAUCAUUCAGAUUCUCCUGGCUUCUUGUUAAGAAUGGAAGCCAAGAAUUAGCAACAGUGGAUAGUCAAUAGACUUGUCUUUCCACUAUAGUUAUUUAAUGAGCAGCAUCAACAAAAGGACAGUUUUAAAAAUAAGGACCUUACAAACUCAGUAAGUCACAGAUACAAGAUGAAAAGAAAGAAAGAAGCUUAAGAAAAGUAGGAAGACUUAAGAUAAAUGGAGCUCCCUGCUUGGCUGGGGCAGUUUCCUGGGCUGAACCACAGUUUCCAUCUCAGAUUCAAAUGCAUCCUGUUAAAGACCAUGGAUGAUUAGAUCAUAAAUCUGCAUGAGCUUGAAGAUGAUGAAGGAAAUGCUUCUCUGUAAAGUGAUCAUCAUGCUGCCAGUCCCAUCAUUUACACAUGUUUACAGAUUUAUCACCCAACCGUAAGACAUUUGACAUUCAAGUUGUAGAUGGAAAGAAAAGAAUGAAUCAAUAAAUCGAACUCAGAAUUAGAGAAAG
rnacentral:lncRNA from 1 species